CAAACCACAACAGAACGAUAAAACAAUAACUCCUCAACAAUGUCCAAAAACAAAAACUCAUAGCUUCAAUGAAAUUGCUGCGAUCAGCACAACACCGAAGGAUACUGUUGCAAUGGAUGCACCUGAACUAUCAACAGAUGCAUCUUCCUUGGACCCUGCAGGAGCUUUUGCUGGAACAUCUUUCUCGGGCUUUGAAGGUGCAGGAGCUGGUGCUGGUGCUGUACCAAAAAGAUCCAACGGCAGAAGGACCUGAUCCACCUGAUACACAACUAACUGGCCAUCGGUGUAUAUAGUGUUUGCCACGGUUGCAGUAUUAACCCCUGUUGUUAUGUUCACUUGAUUCCCCGAUGUUGUCACAUUGAGCGGGAACUCGCCAUCAGCACUAUUUCCGGCUUGA
rnacentral:lncRNA from 1 species